rnacentral:rRNA from 1 species
GGUUAAGCGACUAAGCGUACACGGUGGAUGCCCUGGCAGUCAGAGGCGAUGAAGGGCGUGCUAAUCUGCGAUAAGCGCCGGUAAGGUGAUAUGAACCGUUAUAACCGGCGAUACCCGAAUGGGGAAACCCAGUGUGACUCGUCACACUAUCAUUAACUGAAUCCAUAGGUUAAUGAGGCGAACCGGGGGAACUGAAACAUCUAAGUACCCCGAGGAAAAGAAAUCAACCGAGAUUCCCCCAGUAGCGGCGAGCGAACGGGGAGGAGCCCAGAGCCUGAAUCAGCAUGUGUGUUAGUGGAAGCGUCUGGAAAGGCGCGCGAUACAGGGUGACAGCCCCGUACACAAAAGCGCAUGUGCUGUGAGCUCGAUGAGUAGGGC